rnacentral:rRNA from 1 species
AUUGAACGCUGGCGGCAGGCCUAACACAUGCAAGUCGAACGAGUGGCGGACGGGUGAGGAAUGUCUGGGAAACUGACUGAUGGAGGGGGAUAACUACUGGAAACGGUAGCUAACACCUCAUACCAUCAGACAUGCCCAGAUGGGAUUAGCUUGUUGGUGGGGUACAGGCUCACCAAGGCGACGAUCCCUAGCUGUUCUGAGAUGAUGACCAGCCCAACUGGAACUGAGACCUGGUCCAGACGCCUAAGGGAGGCAGCAGUGGGGAAUAGUGGACAAUGGGCGCAAGCCUGAUGCAGCCAUGCCGCGUGUAUGAAGAAGGCCGUCGGGUUGUAAAGUACGUUCAGCGGGGAGGCGUUACCCGCAGAAGAAGCACCGGCUAACUCCGUGCCAGCAGCCGCGGUAAUAC